AUGGCUGUCGUCAGCUCGUGUCGUGAGAUGUUGGGUUAAGUCCCGCAACGAGCGCAACCCUUGUCAUUAGUUGCUACAUUUGGUUGGGCACUCUAAUGAUACUGCCGGUGACAAACCGGAGGAAGGUGGGGAUGACGUCAAGUCCUCAUGGCCCUUAUGGGUAGGGCUUCACACGUCAUACAAUGGUCGGGACAGAGGGUUGCCAAGCCGCGAGGCGGAGCCAAUCUCAGAAACCCGAUCGUAGUCCGGAUCGCAGUCUGCAACUCGACUGCGUGAAGUCGGAAUCGCUAGUAAUCGCGGAUCAGCAUGUCGCGGUGAAUACGUUCCCGGGUCUUGUACACACCGCCCGU
rnacentral:rRNA from 1 species